UGAACAGCUGAGGCUGGUAGUAACCACCUCCCUGUCUCUGCUGUACCCGUCUCGGCUAAUCCAGCCGGACUUCUGGCGGUGCUGGAGGUUAAACGGCACCGCGAGGCAAGAGGAGAUUAGUCUUGGGCUUUAACAAACUUCCCGCAAACAGAGUAUAUGAAAAGAAACAUUUGUUGAAGACACCACUGUUGGAGAAUGUGUCACCAGACCCCCGGUCCAUGUCUUGGCUGAGGCCUGAGAUCUGAUUCAGCUCCUUGGUGCCCCAGGGGAGGCGAGCCCUGGAGCCGGUCGUACGGGGAAAAUGGAAGCUCAGAGACACUAAGGAAGCCGUGUGGUUGAUGAGAAGAGGACCAGACGGCCACCCAGGCCAGCUCCCCUGCCGCCCCACGGGGAGAGCCUGGGCCAGGGCAGAAGAAAGCUAGAGGCGGAACCCAGGGAAGCAAGGGCUUGCAGCCCCCGGUGAGGAAUUUGGACUUUAUCCUGGAGGCCAGUGGGUCUCAAUCCUGGCUGCACAUCGGAUCCUCCGGAGAGCUCUAAGGAUGACUACUGCCUGGGUCCUACCCCAGGAAGUCUGACUUGGCUGUUUUUUUGGUUUUGUUUUGUUUUGUUUUUUAUAUUGGAGUAGAGUUGAUUAACAGUGCUGUGUCAGUUUCAGGAGUACAGCCAAGUGGUUCAGUUAUACAUAUACAUGUAUCUAAUCUUUUUCAGAUUCUUUUCCCAUUUAGGUCAUUGCAGGAUAUUGAGCAGAGUUCCCCGGGCUGUAGAGAAGGUCCUUGGUGGUUGUCCAGUUUAAGUAUAGCAGUGAUGCAGCUGUUGUUUUUGAAGCUCUCCAAGCGAUGCUGACGUGCAGCCAGGCUGUGAUGAGAACUGCCGUCAUGUUGUCACACACGGUCACGAGGCCUGCUUUUCACUGACCCUUCGCAGGGACGCCGGGGCCCGAGGCAACGCCCUCGUGCCCCAGCUGCCCCGAGAGCGCUCACAGAGGCGUUACCCUCUUCUCCCAAGCCAGUCUGCGAGCUCCAGUCGCCCCACACUGUCCCCUCCGUUUCUGGCCCCCGGCCCCCUCCUGGGUCUGCCCCCGGCACAGCCGCUGGGGAGCCAGUGUCGCCCUCACCAGGGUCGGGGGCUCGGGGGCCGCGGGAGCUGGGGGUCGCGGCGGGGGGAGCAGCCCCCCCCGCCCCCCAGAGGGCGCUCAGCCUCUUGCACUCCGGAAGCCUUUGCGCCCACGCUAAAGCUUGCGGCGAGGAGCUCCAAACACUGCCAUCAUACUGAUGACAUUUUAUUGUUACAGAGAAAAGUAAUUUAAAAAUGUAUACAUCAUCCACAUUUCAAUUUUUUUCUCUCUGGAAACUUUAAUUCCCCACAUGGCUGGAACAUAAACAGACCAAGAGGACCACGGUGACCUGCAGAAAGCAAGUGAGCGGAACUGACCUCCCGGUGACUGUUGUUAUUCUAGAGUCAACGAGUUGAGAGCUUUGCCCCGCAGGGUCUUCAUCUCCUGCCUUCUCCAGUGGCUGUGCUUGGUCUCUCGCCUCUCUAAGCAUAUACAUCAAACACAGACCUGGCAAGGUGCAUCAGGGCCCUCAUGAAGCACCACCAACCUGCCGCCGGGCCCAGCGUUGCGAGAGAUGCCUUGCGAAGGUCGGAGGGCUGUUUGUCCGCAUACACAGUUGAAAGCACGCUUAGCGAUCCCUUAGUCACCAGUGGAAACACCCGACUGGUAAGUGGCUCAAGCCUGGUUUCCAGUCUGAGCCGCACCAGUUUCUCAGCAGAGCCACGUGACCUAAGCUCUCAGCCGCCGUUUCCAGACGCACACCUCGUGUGCAUCCCGUCCCCCAGGACUGUUGCAAAGGGGAAACGAGAACUUAUUCGUACACAUCCCGGCGUGAUGGCUUCUAAAGGCUCAGUUGGCAGGAGCUGGUUCUUCAUGUUUAUGAGUCAAGUGGACGCACAGUAUCUCUGACUCUGGUAAUAGCUCCAGAAGGUGGGAAUCAAGAGGGAGGGCUCUGCACCUGGGUGGAGGAGUGGCUGAUGUGGAGGCCAGAUGUCGCCGGUGUGUCGAGGGGCAGAACUUUCCAAAUAUCUGGGAGGAUGUGAUGAGUGUAUUUGGUUGGAAGCACAGAUGUCUAAGGGCUGUGAGCUCAGCUAUACGAUUUGCCCAGAUAGAAGAAUUCAAUACAGAAUUAAGUGCUUCUCCCCUAUAUUCACAGCAGCACUAUUCAUAAUAGGCAAGACAUGGAAGCCACCUAAAUGUCCAUCGACAGAGGAAUGGAUAAAGGAGAUGUGGUACAUGUAUACAAUGGAAUAUUAGCCAUAAAAAAGAAUGAAAUCAUGCCAUUUGCAGCAACAUGGAUGGACCCAGAGAUUCUCAUACUAAGUGAAGUAAGUCAGAAAGAGAAAGACAAAUACCAUAUAAUAUCACUUAUAUGUGGAAUCUAAAAUAUGACACAAAUGAACUUAUCUACAAAACAGAAACAGACUCACAGACAUAGUGAACAGACUGGUUGUUGCCAAGGUGGGGGAGGGGUGAAUUGGCAGAUGCAAACUAUUAUAUAUAGGAUGGAUAACCAACAAGGUCCUACUGUAUAGCACAGGAGCUAUAUUCAAUGUCCUGUGAUAAACCAUAAUGGAAAAGAAUAGGAAAAAGAAUAUAUAUAUAUGUAUAACUGAAUCACUUUGCUGUACAGCACAAACUAACACAACACUGUAAAUCACUAUACUUCAGUAAAAUUAAAAAAAUAAGUGCUUCUGAAACAUUUUCUAAAGAGGGUGAAAUGUGAAGUUUUGGCAAAUACCCAAAAGUUUUGAAAAAGCAGAAAUACCAGAAAAUGAAGAACUAAAAUGUUCCCUAAUGUGUAUAAUUAAAAAAAAAAAACUAAUUGGCACCACCUUAUGGAAUCAGUGUAAAAAUAUAUAGAUCAUGUCAGCCCUUAAAGAUAUUAAUGAUUGAGUGAUAUGAUAAUCUAAGGGGAGUUGAAUGAUAUGUUGGCAACUAAAGUCACUCUCACAGUUUCUUGGACAUUUUGCAAUCUGAUUCUCCUUAGUGGGUCUUGAGAGGGUGAGAUCACCAUCAAGGCAGCAAAGAAUCUCUCGGGUUGAUUACAGCCAUCGAGGGAGAGCAGAUGAUUCUUUGCAUCCAUGAAAAUAAAUAUUUGCCACAAACCCAAUAGACAGCAGUCUUCAUGGGGACAUUAAGUCCCACGGAUGGGUUCUUUAUUUCUGUCCCUGUCUGACCAAGCUCUGGUGUGUGUGUGUCUGACUCUGUCCGCUUCUGGCUGAGGCUGAAGGAGGUGAGGAAAAGGCACAAGGACAGAGAAGACAGAACUGAGCAUUGGGUCAUGCUUGCUAUGCACUGGAGAGAAUUUCAGAAGCAAAUACCUGCUGUACAGCACAGGGAACUCUACUCGUAUCUUGUAAUAACCUAUAAGGGAAAAGAAUCUGAAAAAGAAUAGAUAGAUAUAUGUAUAACUGAAUCACUCUGCUGUACACCUGAAACUAACACAACUGUAAAUCAAUUAUAUUUCAAUAAAAAUUUGAAAAAAAAUGAAAAAAAAUCAUCUGUGGGAUAUCAAUCAGUUGCAAUACUAUGCAGCCAAUAAACUGAUAAUUACAUUGACAAUUUUGACACAUGAAAAAACGUACAAAAAAUAAUUUAAACUGCAAAAUAGAUGAAUUCAAAAGGCCAUGGAUCUAUUUAUUGAAAAUGUGUGAAAUGUAUGUGUAUCUUGAAAACAAAAUUGGAAGCUAAGUUGUUGUGCAGAAAAUGUUUAGAGUUCAUUGUUGGUUUUU